GGCCUAUCAGCUUGUUGGUGGGGUGAUGGCCUACCAAGGCGCGACGGGUAGCCGGCCUGAGAGGGUGACCGGCCACACUGGGACUGAGACACGGCCCAGACUACGGGAGGCAGCAGUGGGGAAUAUUGCACAAUGGGCGCAAGCCUGAUGCAGCGACGCCGCGUGAGGGAUGACGGCCUUCGGGUUGUAAACCUCUUUCAGUAGGGAAGAAGCCUCUCGGGGUGACGGUACCUGCAGAAGAAGCGCCGGCUAACUACGUGCCAGCAGCCGCGGUAAUACGUAGGGGCGCAAGCGUUGUCCGGAAUUAUUGGGCGUAAAGAGCUCGUAGGCGGUCUGUCGCGUCUGCUGUGAAAAACGCGGGGGGCUCAAACCCCCGCGCCUGCAGUGGGGUACGGGGCAGACUAGAGUGCGGUAGGGGGGAGACUGGAAUUCCUGGUGUAGCGGUGGAAUGCGCAGAUAUCAGGAGGAACACCGGUGGCGAAGGCGGGGUCUCUGGGGCCGUUACUGACGCUGAGGAGCGAAAAGCAUGGGGGAGCGAACAGGAUUAGAUACCCUGGUAGUCCAUGCCGUAAACGUUGGGCACUAGGUGUGGGACCCAUUCCACG
rnacentral:ncRNA from 1 species